rnacentral:lncRNA from 1 species
UGCAUAUUACACAUAGAAUGUUUUUGGCAGAAUACACUGAUGCUGGUAACAGUGAUUGCCUUCAGAGAAAGGAAGAAGCCUAUUCCUUGGUCUGGAAUAAGCCUAUUCUGAUGGUCUGGAGUAGAAGGAUGUUAUUCAAUGAAUGCUUGUAUCCACCCAAGUUCAUAUUUUGAUGUCCUAACCCCUAGGUAGCUGUAUUUGGAGUUGGGACCUAGAAGGAAAAUGUCCUUAAAUGAUGUCAUAAGGUUAGGGUCCUAAUUCAACCAUAGUGUCCUUACAGGAAGACACAUCAGAGUACUCUCUGUCUCUCCACCCAGGUACCAAGGAAAGGCCGUGUGAGGACAUAGUGAAGAGGUAGCUGUCCACAAACCAAGAGGGUGCUCACCAGGAACUUAAUUUGCCAGCACCUUGAUUCUGGAUUCCCCAGUCUCCAGAAAUGUGAGAAAAGAAGUAUCUGUUGUUUAAGUCCCAAACCCCACGGUAUUUUGGUAGUCCAAGCAGACUGUUAGAAGAGGAGACUUAACUUUUUUUUUUUUUUGGUUGCGUCCAAGGCAUGUGGAAUUUCCCAGGCCAGAUAUUGAACUGCACCACAGCAGUGACCCAAGCUGCUUCAGUGACACCACCAGAUCCUUAAGCUGCUGCGCCACAAGAGAACUCCAAGGGGGACUUACUUUUAAUUGUAUACUUUUCUCUUAACAAUGUAGACAUCCUGGUAAAAUGUCUAAGAAAGUGCCAUUAAGUUAAGGGACAGGGAAAAACCUGCCCCUACCUUCAUAAGAAUCUCAAAGUUUCCAGCUUUCUCCUUUCAAGGCUCUUCCCCUUCCCUGGUAAUGCAUGUCCCCCUCAGAGGCCAUUAAUAUUUACUGCUACUGUAGAUAUCUCUCUGAUGCCUGGAAGACUCCAGCAGUACAUGCUGCUGUUCCUUCAGGAUCUGAUCUGGGACAUCAGAGUUACUCAGGUACAAGAGCAGCAGUAAAGCACGGUAGAGGGUGAGUGGGUUUCUGAGUUAGGCAGUCUUAUAUUUGAGACCUUACCUCUGCACCUUAUUAGUCGUCUAGCUGAAGCCAUCUAUAAAACUUCCCUGAAUCUCUGUUUUUCCAUUUGAAAAAAGAGGUCAAGAAUAAACAGUGUACAGAGAACCAUUUUGUCUUUUUUUUUUGGUCUUUUUGUCUUUUCUAGGGCCCAUGGUGUAUGGAGGUUCCCAGGCUAGGGGUCUAAUUGGAGCUGUAGCCACCAGCCUACGCCAGAGCCAUAGCAAUGUAGGAUCCAAGCUGCUUCUGCGACCUGCACCACAGCUCAUGGCAACGCCGGAUCCUUAACCCACUGAUUGAGGCCAGGGAUUGAACCUGCAAUCUUAUGGUUUCUAGUUGGAUUCGUUAACCACUGCGCCACGACAGCAACUCCCAGAGACCCAUUUUGAAGAUUAGCAAUAAAACAUAGAGUGUGCCUGGCACCUAAUAGACACUCAAGAAGUGGCUGUUAUUAUUGCAAGUGACAGUGUUGUUUUUGUCUCUUUUGUUCUUGAGAGUGACUGUCAACCCAACAAACACCAGUGGCCAUUCUCUCCUUGUUUAGUGCAAUUUCUCCCUCUGUAUCAGGACCAUAGCUCAUUAAUUAAAAAAAAAAUUAUUGGAGUAUAGUUGACUUACAAUGUUUUGUUAGUUUCAGGUGUAUGCAAAAUGAAUCAGUUAAAAUAUACAUAUAUCCAUUCUUUCUCAGAUUAUUUUCUCAUAUAGGUUUUUACAGAAUAUUGAAUAGAUUUCCCUGUGCUAUACAAUGGGUCCUUGCUGGUUAUCUGUUUAAUAUUUAGUAAUGUGUAUAUGUUAAUCCAAACCUCCUAAUUUAUCCUUAUCCCCCCCCAGAUUUUUUUUUUUACAUUCUUUUUCUUAAAUAUUAUUUUCCAUCAUGUUCUAUCCCAGAAUACUGGCUAUGGUUCCUAUGAUGUACAGUGGGACCUUACUGUCUAUCUAUUCUAAAUGUAAUAGUUUGCAUCUUCUUAUUCUUUCUGUUGUACUAAGGCCUUUAAUUUGGAGGAGCUUGAGAUAUGUUCUCUCUGGGUUGCUUGGAAGACAUUUGCAUGGCAGUACCAUUGUCCACAGAGAAGAAACAUGAUGUACCAGCAAAACUUUAGUCUGCAAAGGAUCAUGAGCCAAUAAGCUGCAAUUGUUGCUUUGAAAAGGCAGAAGCAAAAGAAGAGUUGAUGGAGAUACCAGGCAUGAAAGGGUCGUAAGUUCUGGGCUUUCCAAUAAUAAGCUAUUCUCCUCCAGAUGAUUUUAAUAAUCUCCAGCACAUGUGUUCUAACCCCUUGAUGCUGUACAAUAUGUGUAACUAAAUAAAAGAUCUCUCCAGAUUCAGAGAUUUACUGUUUGUGAUGGGAAAAGGCCAACCAGAUGACAUCAUUUAUAUUCCAAAUAUGAGCUGCUGCCAAGGCUGGUGAUGUUAAGCUGGAGAAAUUGAUCCUUAGUGUUAUUCUAUGAAAGAAAAGAGAAAAAGGUCUUGGCCUAGAUAGUGUAAUUUUUAAAAAUUUAUGUGAAUUUGAAGAUGAGUUUAAUAAACUUCUAUUUUAUCUAGAAUUGCUUAUGUGCAAUGCAUGGGCUGUUUAGGUACACAAUUACUUCCAUAUAUAAAGUUAGCAGGUUAGAGGAUAAGAAUUACCAUUUUGCCGUUGUUGUUGUUGAAUGGAUAAUCGGUGGUGGUGGGGAUUGACCUGAGGCCUGUCUGCCCCAGCAGAACACACAAGGCAUCAGGGCUGUGCUCACUUGUUCAAAAGCAAAGGUGCCCACUUUGUAAGUGGAGUGUGACAGUCUCUGCUCCCAUCCUUCAACCUCUUCCUUUCUAACAGAACCAUGUUUUCUUUUCAUAUAUCCACAUCCUCCACUACUACGGAAUGCAGAGAAGUUGACACCAUUCCCAGUUUCAAAGGUAGAUCUUGAUUAAUCUAGACCAACAAACACAUGGCAUUCCCCCCAUGACCAGGGAUUCAGGAGUGACUUGUGAGUGUAAUCAGACAAAGGAAAGGACUUAGAUUCCAUACUUGAGGAAAAGGAUUUUCCUUUUCUCUCCUGAGAGAUUAUAACAAAUAGGAAUAGAUCCCUACUUGCUGUUGGCAUCUGUUUUAUAAUUUCAAGAGGGAGUCAAGUUUAGAAUAAGGCCGCCACUGGGGAUGGCUGAUUGAAAAACAAAGUCCUCAACUAUAUCUUUGAGCCUCUGAUUGUGCUGUGCUUUUGCUAUCCUUAAACUUUUAUGUAAAUAUUGCUUUCCCUUAUUAUUUAAGCCAGCUUGCAUUUCUGUUGCUUAUACCUGAAAUCGUCCUGGUUGGAAGAGGUGACAAAAUUUGAUUUCUGAGAUCCCAUCAGCACUUUUUUUUUUGGGGGGGGGCAUACUCUCAUGGCAUUUUUGAAGACAGAGAGUUUUGAGUCUGUGUUGAAUGGCUUUGUGUGCUGUCUCCACACACAGAGUGACUUUCUAAAAUAAGGAGUACUCAUAAUACUCCCUGGCAUCUUGAUCUUUACUCCUUCCAGCCUCGUCUCAGCCAUACUCAUCAGCCCCGCUACCACCUUUCAGUUACUCGGACGUGUUCUCCUUUCUCUCACCUCCAGCCUUGCUCAUGCUCUUCCACUGACUCUAGCAAACUCCUUGACAGCCUCCUUCCCCAUACUUCCCCUCUAUCAAGUCUUGACCUGGGCAUCAUUUCCCCCGGGAAGCCUUCCCUUUGUUGGUCUUCCUAAUACUACCCUAACGUCCUAUUCAUCCCUAUCAGAGCACUUUCCACUUUAUAUGGAAAUGACCCAUCAUCUCAGUUGGACUGUGGAUCCAGUGAGGUCAGGAAACAUCUGUUCUGUUUACAGUUUUGUCCCCAGGGCUUAACACAUAGUUGGUACUACAUAAAAUAUUUGUUGAAAGAAUGAUGAAUUAAUUACUUAAAGCUUUUCAAACAUGCCACAUUACCCAGUGCCCAAGUGCCUUAAUAUGGCCUUCAAUGAUCUGGCCCUGACUUCCUGUCCAGUCCCCUCUUCUCUUACGCACCAGAAAUUUCCUAUUUAAAGUGCACUGACUUACACAUCCUCUGCUGUUUCAUGUCUCAGUGCCCACGAGGAGCAUCUUGCUACUUCCUGAAACUACCCAUUGUUUUGCAGCUCGUCUUCCUUAAGUGGGGAGAGUUCUGUAAAAUAGUAAAAUGAAUGAAAACAAUGAAAACAAACAAAAAAACACUU